rnacentral:rRNA from 1 species
GACGAACGCUGGCGGCGUGCUUAACACAUGCAAGUCGAACGGAAAGGCCCUGCUUUUGUGGGGUGCUCGAGUGGCGAACGGGUGAGUAACACGUGAGUAACCUGCCCUUGACUUUGGGAUAACUUCAGGAAACUGGGGCUAAUACCGGAUAGGAGCUCCUGCUGCAGGGUGGGGGUUGGAAAGUUUCGGCGGUUGGGGAUGGACUCGCGGCUUAUCAGCUUGUUGGUGGGGUAGUGGCUUACCAAGGCUUUGACGGGUAGCCGGCCUGAGAGGGUGACCGGCCACAUUGGGACUGAGAUACGGCCCAGACUCCUACGGGAGGCAGCAGUGGGGAAUAUUGCACAAUGGGCGGAAGCCUGAUGCAGCAACGCCGCGUGCGGGAUGACGGCCUUCGGGUUGUAAACCGCUUUCGCCUGUGACGAAGCGUGAGUGACGGUAAUGGGUAAAGAAGCACCGGCUAACUACGUG